AUUUUGUCUAUUAUAUUGAAAGAGAAAAAAAGCUUAAGUCGGUAGUCUUUAUGAUCCUAAAAGGGAAAAUUGCCUUGGUAACUUUCAGAUUCCUGUGGAAUUGUGAAUUCAUACUAAGCUUCUGUGCAGUAUUACCAUUUGCAUCAUUGAGGAUGAAAUUGACUUUUGUCUUUUGGAGAAAAUAAAACAAACUGUACUGAUUGUUCAAGAGGGCUGUGAUUAAAAAUCUUGAAGCAUUAUUCCUGCCAAGGUAGUUUUCUUGCAUUUUGCUCUCCAUUUCAGCAUGUGUGUGGGUGUGGAUGUUUAUAAACAAGACUAAGUCUGAUUUCAUAAGGGCUUUCUAGUAUUAAUUCUUUCCAAUAGAAUAUGACUUUUUGCUUUGAUAU